rnacentral:rRNA from 2 species
CCUGGCGGCAGUAGCGCGGUGGUCCCACCUGACCCCAUGCCGAACUCAGAAGUGAAACGCCGUAGCGCCGAUGGUAGUGUGGGGUCUCCCCAUGCGAGAGUAGGGAA